rnacentral:rRNA from 1 species
UGGGGAAUAUUGCACAAUGGACGCAAGUCUGAUGCAGCAACGCCGCGUGGAGGAUGAAACAUUUCGGUUCGUAAACUCCUUUCAUAUAGGAGGAUAAUGAUGGUGCUAAUUGAUUAAGCACCUGCUAACACCGUGCCAGCAGCCGCGGUAAUACGGCGGGUGCAAGGGUUAAUCGGAAUUACUUGGCGUAAAGAGCAUGUAGGCGGGUUGAUAAGUCAGAAGUGAAAUCCAAUGGCUUAACCAGUGAACUGCUUUUGAAACUGGAAAGCUUGAAUGUGGGAGAGGUAGAUGGAAUUUCUGGUGUAGGGGUAAAAUGCGUAGAGAUCAGAAGGAAUACCGAUUGCGAAGGCGGUCUACUGGAACAUGAUUGACGCUGAGGUGCGAAAGCGUGGGGAGCAAACA